rnacentral:rRNA from 1 species
CAGUAGCCACGGGAAUACGGAGGGGGCUAGCGUUGUUCGGAAUUACUGGGCGUAAAGCGCGCGUAGGCGGCUUGGUAAGUUAGAGGUGAAAGCCUGGGGCUCAACCCCAGAAUUGCCUUUAAGACUGCCGAGCUAGUAGGUGAGAGAGGUAAGUGAAUUCCGAGUGUAGAGGUGAAAUUCGUAGAUAUUCGGAAGAACACCAGUGGCGAAGGCGGCUUACUGGCUCAUUCUAGACGCUGAGGUGCGAAAGCGUGGGGAGCAAACAGGAUUAGAUACCCCAGUAGUCCCUGUCUCUUAUACA